ensembl:lncRNA novel transcript
ACAGCCAAAUACUAUACUACAGUUUACAAUAGAGAAAAUGUAGCAGCUAUUCAAAGAAAAGAACACCUUGGUGAAAACCCCCAGAACUGGAAAUAAGCCUGAGACACCUGCAUGAUUCAUAGAACAAAAUAAAAACUGUAUGGAAAAGGCUCAACAAGGACAGAGCAUCCCAGGGGUGACCAUUCCUCUGAUCUCUGCCUCACAACUCACCUCAGGGUAACCAGUCUUCUGCCCAAGCUAAAGCACCCAACACACCCCCAUCGGACUUCAGUCAAUCCGAAGUGGUUCACUUCUCAUCUCUGCCUCUUUCUUCCCAAAUGUCCUGCACUAGAAUGGUAUGCUCCCCACUCCUUUCAACAUGAACCCCAUCAUGUUAUAACCUU